AUAACUAAAAAAUGAAAUGCAAAUUGUUCAAGACAAACUAUAUUUAACAUAAUUGGAACUGCAUUUGCAGCUAACUUGCUGCAGAUGUGCGGAGACGUGUCGUUGGGCAGCUAUUCGGUCAGCAGCUUUCAACAUUGUGGUCAAAGGUCGUGAAGGUUGGGCGGGACAGGCGAGCAGUAGUUGCGGCACAACGUUGCCGCUGACCUCGCCCGCAUCAUCAACAGCUGUUAAAGCGUGGCCAGGGGCCAGCUCCUGGCAUCAGGCGAUCGAUGAUCGCAUCGCGGAACAGCAGCUGCAAUCCCAGUGUGCGCACUCUGCAGAUCCAUCUGUGCACUGAGAGAAACGCAUGCUUGCACCUCAAAAUGCUGCAGUUGUUGCGACUUGUGCUCGGCCAGCUAUGUGAGCCACUUUUUCACAGCUGUUCAGGGCAUCAUUUUCUAUGUCCAGCUACCUUUAAGGUUCUUGUCGAUACGCACGCUCCGGGAGCUCGUGAACAGGAACCUUCGCGAUAUAUUGAAUCCUCAGCUUCAAGAUGCGACAGCGCUUUACACUAUUUCGGCCAGUAAAUGGCAUCAGCAGCAAUUGAGCAAUGCUAGAGCCCAGUAACUUGCACGGGGUGCAAGCGCCUUGUUUAUCUCCAAGUAAAUGGCCACACGAGACUACAAACGACUGCAGACUGUGCUGCUGUUACCAGUUGCUGACCCAAAUGUGAAAAGCGCUGUUGCAUCUUGAAGGGCUAAGAAAAAAUGUGCAGAUAGUUGAAGAAUCCAGCCCAACUACCUGGAUACCACAACAGGAGCACACCUCGACAAGCGGCCAAAACCCAACGGUUGGGAGGAACACAUGACAUUUGCCAAGCGCCACAAUUUGGGCAUUUUGAUCGCUUGCCUCGUCGAGCACAUGUGGCAAUGAGUGCAGCAUUUUGAGGGCCAACCAUACGAUUCUCUCAAUGUUCAGAUGGUUCUGCAGAUUGCACACACUGGCGUCGCCGCUGCAGUUCGACGACGCUAUGGCCGAUCGGGCGAUGCAGGAGGAGUCUGAAGGAUUGAAUGGUGCUGCUUUAACUGGAUGGAUUCAAUCUGACGUGUAGGUGUGCGGAAACGGAAAUGCUGUGCCUCGACUGCUGCUCGUCUGUCCAGACCGACACGUCCUAUGACUGGAAUGUUGCAGGCUGCUUACCGAACAGCUGCUCCACGACACUAUCUACAGGUCUGGUACGACCUGACCAGUUCUCCAGUAGAGUGGCAAGACCCGAUACAAAAUACUGUUUAGUCUGUUUAAAUUGCAUUCCAAUAAAAUUCAAUGCAGCAUCAAAUGCA